GAACCUUAUGAACAGAGCUACAAACUGAAAGGCUGACAAACCCUGUUUGGUCUUUUUCUGGUCGUACUGCCAUGAACUUUGAUAGCAUGUUAAAUGAGUCUCUUUUUGUUGCUGUUUUUUGGCUUUUGCUGCAAUUCCAUGGAGACAAUUUCUGAUUUUAUAGAGGUUGUCACACUUAACGAUAAUUCAUUCAUCAAUUGGAUUUGAUAAGCAGGACCUGGCUGCUACUUUCAUUACUUUUCAUCAAGCGUUUUUUGAAUUCUUCAAAUGACCGUGCAGCAAAGAACCACCUGGUGCUCCUGCCCCACACAAAUGGGUGACUGUGACUGUGCCACUGUACAAGCAGUCAAAGGUGGACGUGUUGCUGAGGAAGGAGAAUCUACAGAGCCUGAUGAACCAAGAGAUAAAGCACAAACAUGAUAUAGUCUCAACAAAUUAACGUGACAAAGUUUUUUCCUGUGGUCUGGAGUGGAUAAGAGAUCAUUCUGUUCUGACAUUUGCUGUAUCACAGUAUUUGGCCCAGAGACUUUCAUACAGUGUCCCUACAACUGGCAAAAAAUGCCAGGACCUGGUCACCAUCAUUAAACUGCUGCUUCAUUGAAAUAUUUCACCCUGACCUGAAACCUUUCCAGGUUCUGUUUUGAGUGCCUGCCACAUAGUUUGUGCCAGAAACCAUUAACAUGAUCAAAUUCACAGGUAGUUCAUCUGAGACCACUGAUUCUGCAGCACUGCUAAAGGUCCUCAUACCUUUGACCAAAGACCAAAUAAUUAGGGUUAAAUCUUGUACUCUGCCAACAGAAGCCAUCGUAAACCUCGCUUGCAGUCACCUUUCAUUUCUGUGCCACCUUGUGGAGCCCACUUAUGAACCAGAACAUCCCUCAUUCAGACGCUGCACUUCUAACUUCACUAAGCUGCACUCUGUCAAAAAGUACUUAGUAGCAUCAGCACACUGUUUGAAUUAGCUCUUGCUGGGAAACUGAAAAAUGUUCAGGAACAUUUAAAUCUGGUUCUAUACACAAAGACUUUAUGCAGUGUGUUACAAGAAGUGGUUACUCUCAGCCCCCAACCAAGCGCACACCCUGACCAGUGUCCUGAGAAAAGGAUAACACCGAUGCCAAAAUGGAUUCUUUGCUCCUGUCACAAAGUGUUUUUACAGGCUGCCAUGUUAUCUUUACCUUUGAGUGAUACAAAUAUAUCUGACACAAAAGAAUAUUUUUGUGCUUCAGAUCUGACUUAAGCAGGGCCUCCUUCAGAGACCAUGGAAACUGUUCUUGCAGGAAUGUUAAGAGCAGCAGGUUGAACAUUUUUACCUGUAUGAACUAAAGGACAGUCUGCUUUCCAGUAUGAGUUGUCAUGGCAAGUAAUAGCCCUACUGCAGAGCACCAUCUGUUGAAAUUUUUGGUUAAGUCCAUUGUAAACUCAGCAUGUGACUGCUUAUUAGACUUUCUCCAUGAUCUGAAGCGUUGAUGGUAAGCUUCUGGUACCCCAACUACCUCCUAACUUGCCUGCUUUGUUCCAAUAUUGCUGCAAUUCCAGUUUUUCCUUUUUCACCUUAGAUGUCCUUUUGUAUGCCCACCAUGUCUCUUCUCAUUUGUACAGUAAUAGCCUUUCUUGCUGCUUAAAUGACUAGACAACAGACUGACCAAUGCUGUUAACUAGUCUGCAUUUUAACUGUCAACACCACCUUUCUUUAUGCAGAGUUUAACAACUCUUUAAUGUCAUCUUUUUAGCAGUUUAUUUCCAGUAUCGAAGGGACUAAUGAAAUGAGACGCACGUUUCUUAGAUUCAGUCUUGAGCUGAACAUUUUUAGUAGACGACCAGACCUUUUUACCGACUUGGUAGACAGGUGCAGAGACUCUGACUAUCUGUUAGGCGUUUGUUGUGUUCCACUGACCUGAGGAGGGCUGCUUGAAUAGAUCUCCAGAUCCGGCAACAGCGUCAGACAUGAUGUUAAAUGCAAGGAACCUCCAGUAACUGACAGCAGGAGUGUGGGGGGUUGAAAUCCCAGGGACGCUUUGAAUGGUGACAACCCAGCGGCCGAGGAGCUCCUUAACCCUUUAAUGCAUGAAUUACGACAACCUCAAUCAGGAUUAUUUGCUUAAGUAUUUUUAGUCAUCUUUAGCCAUGAGAAAAAGAUUUUGGAACUUCAUUUUUUAAAACAUGUACUUUUCAAAUAGUUUUUUACAUGUCCACUCAGGAGGACAACGUACGGUUUGACUUAUGAAUUUGACAAACGAAUAAAUAAUAUACACUGGUGUGUGUUUAUGUGCAAGUAUAGCAUCAACACUGACACAAAUACAAGAAAACAGCCUUUGAAUAGCCGUCCACUGUAGUGACCACUACGCGUGAAAGGGUUAAACAGAUACCUAACAGGCUUUUUCUAAUUAUAUUUUCUUUUUUAUGUUACAACUCAUUUUAUGAGGAAUGCUCAUACAUCCAUCGUACAAAUACAACUACAAAUAUUACAAACUGGAGUAUCUUUCAGUGUCAGGUAUGGAGCUGUGCCCCUCUCCUUUAGGCCUGGAAAAAGAAUAUGCAACUCUCUUUACCACUGACUCCCUCCACUUCCUGCAUGAACUGAUUUCUACAUUUGAUGAGGAGGUGGACGAGAUUCUACAGCUGAGAGUGUCUAAAAAGGCCCAGCUGGAUCUCACAGGUGAUCUGCCAAGCUUCCUGGAAAGUACCACACAUAUCAGGAGAGACCCAGACUGGAAGGUCCUUCCCGUCCCCUCAAGGCUCCAAAAGAGACAUGUAGAUAUUGGAGACUUGGCACCCUGUGAUACUGAGCGCUUCAUUAAAGCUCUUCUGUCACCAGCACAAGGCAUACAGGUUGACUUUGAUGAUGGAAACUGCCCGACUUAUUACAACCAGAUCAAAGGGAUUUACAAUGUUUUUAAAGCAGUGCAUAACCUGUUCCCCAAUGUUCCACAUAUAUCUCAGGCUCCCGUGCUGAUGCUGCGUCCCCGUGCGUGGAAUAUGGUGGAGCACAACAUGAUGGUGGAGGGGAAAGAAGCUCCUGGCCCUCUCUUUGACUUUGGGCUCCUCAUGUUUCACUGUGGAAAGGCACUGUUUGAACAGAAGAGUGGACCCUUUUUCUACCUGUCAAAAGUGGAGGGCUAUAUGGAGGCCAGGCUUUGGAACAAAAUAUUUGUUUGGACACAGCAGAAGCUGGGUCUUCCUCUGGGCAGCAUCAAGGCCACAGUCCUGAUUGAAAAUGUGUUAGCAGCCUUUGAGAUGGAGGAGAUUCUCUAUGAGCUGCAAGAGCAUUCAGCAGGACUCAACUGUGGUAUCUGGGAUUACUCAGCCUCCUUUGUCAAUAAGUUUGGUCAUCGACCAGCCUUCCUGUUGCCUGACCGCCAUAAAUAUGUGAACAUGGAGAAGCAUUUUCUGCGCAGCUACAUGGAUCUGUUGGUUAAGACAUGUCAUCGGCGAGGAGCAUUGGCCACUGGAGGCAUGGCUGCGCUGCUGCUGCCUGAAGACCCACUCAGUGACGCCUAUAGGAGAGUGUUGGCUUCUGUCACAAGGUUGAAGUUAUUAGAGAUUACUGCAGGUGUGGAUGGUUUCAUGGUAUAUGACCUAAAUUUGGUUGAGCCCAUGCAGAAACUCUUCAAGGGCCACUCUGAAGGAGAUAACCAGCUUGACCAGCUCCGAAAUGACGUGACAGUAUUUCCUGAAGACUUGCUAUCCAUGCCUUCAGGAGGAGUCAUGCUUAAUGGUUUGAAGUAUAACAUUGCAGUUGGUGUGCUCUUUAUUAAUGCUUGGCUAUCAGGUAAAGGCCACUUCUUCUACAAAGGCCAGGUUGAAGAUUCUGCCACAGCAGAGAUUUCUAGAUCGCAGGUGAGUUUUCAAAGCGAACACCACACAGCAUAUAUUGCUGAGAUUCAUGAAGAGCUUGCUCUACACCCACAAGUAAUUACUAUUUAGGAUAUAUUUAAAUGUUUUUGACAAUGUUGUUUGGGAAACAAGCACAUUUCCUUUUUAAAUUUGCUCUAAUAGAUACAUAUUUAACAAAAUGACUAAGAUGCACCCUGUAAUUUGUUUGUUUGUUUGUUUGUUUGUUUGUUUUUGUUUUUCAUUCAGUGUCAUGUGGCAUGCUUCUUUCUCCUUUUGGCUGCAUUUCUUUUAAAGUAUCACUGAAUAGGUUUUGCUUGUGGGUUAAUUACUUCAUGUACAGUCAGUGUUGGGAAGGUUACUUUUAAAAUGUAUUCCACUAAAGAUUACAGAAUACAUGGCACAAAAAGUAGUUUGUAACAUAUUCCAUUAAGUUACUUAAUGUGAGUAACAUAGUCUGAAUACUUUGGAUUACUUGAUAUAUUGUCAUGCCUUUUACAACUACAUGAAUGUACUAUUGCUGUGUGAUUUAUUACUAUUACUGAAGGCUACCCGCAACCAAGCUAACAUUGUUAGCUGAGGUUAGUUCAUCGACUGCAGACUGUUAGACUGGAGUAACAGUAAGGUGGACAUUAGGUAAGGCUGCACAUUUUGCAGUGAUCCCGUAUAGAAAACUGUUUCUGUAUCAGUAAUAUGUUUUCUUUCUGUCUGCUUUCAGAACUGCACAUGAUUAUUUGCAACUAGCAGGUUGUAAUGCAGCGUCCAUAAGCAAUAACCAAGAAAAAAAAAAUUUCAACAAAAAACACUUCUCACUGCUACUAAUCUGCUACCAGCUGUUCUGUAUAUACUGUGGAUACGUAUUUACAAACAUUAUUUAACUGCUGCCUCUGUGUUGGGUGCAGAGAUGCAAAGUGGCUGUCAGCUGGAGAUUAACAGACCGCUGUCCAUCCAAUCAUGCAAUCCACAUCUACCAACUUCCACCCAAUAGAAGUAGAAGCUAACUGUCCAAUCCGCAGUCUCCACCUGUGUCACAGCAUACACAUAGACAUGCACUCGUGCACACCAUGAAAGAGGGGAAACUGCGUGCACCUCCACACACUCGGUGUGGCAGUGGGUCCGUCAUCAGACCCGGCUGGAGGACGAUGGCAGGGUGGUGAGCAGGCAGCUGGUGACUGACCUCAUCAAGGAGCUCAUCAUGGACCUCAGUCCCCACUGUGGCUCUGUUAG